CCCUAGCCCCGAUGGGAGGGAAAAUCCUUUUGUGCCGGGGUUCGGCACAAAAGAUUGGAAGGAACAGCGGGAAAUAGC
rnacentral:sRNA from 1 species